rnacentral:tRNA from 13 species
UGCGUCGGCCUGGAGUCGAACCCGGGUCAACUGCUUGGAAGGCAGCUAUGCUAACCGUUAUACCACCGACGC